CCCAUGUCCACCAAUGCACUUCUCCACGCCAAUUCUGCGCAUCCCACAAAAUUGAUCCGCAGUAUUCCAGUAGAUCAAUUUUUACGUGCCCGUCGAAUUUGUUCCACCAUGGAGGCCUUUGAAGCACAAGUCAGCGAGCUGAGUCAACGCUUUCGAGACAGGGGAUAUGAUGAAGCAUGCAUUAAAAAAGCCUACAAACGAGCUAAAUACUCCAACCGUGAUGGCCUCUUACAGUCAAGACCCCCUAAGGAUAAUGACAAUCAGGUCUCACCACGAGGGAAUUCAAGAAGAGGGUUAGAGAGCAUGUUCGGGGCAUCCUGUCUGCGAAAGAAGAAGAUGACAUCACCACGUUGACAACAUUACCACACCAUUUCAAACUCCAUCACUCCAGCGACCCAUCUGGCCUACAGUUUCGAGUACUUAUCUUCAUGUCCUCAAGCCGCCACCUAUCCUGCCUUUUAUUACCAUCAUCAGCCACUUUACAUAUGUAAUCCUGUUCUUGUUCCAUCUAUGCAUUUGAGUUUUGGCUCAUUUAUGUAUCUAUAUGUUGGUUUCAACUCAGGCCCUUGCACUUUACCAUCAUAUACCGCUUUCUAUCCUGGUACCAUAGCAGUAUGUACCUGUGCCCAUGUUCUUUAUUAUCUUUUUUUUUUAUAUAUUUUUAUUUUAAUAAUUACAAAAAUACAUUGUACAAAUCCGAUAAAACA